rnacentral:lncRNA from 1 species
AAAACGUACUUAAAUUAUAAAAGGUUAAACUAACUAAAAGAGAAACUCGAAAACAAAGCUAUGAGCAUGACUGCAGAGUCUAUAGGCAUCCCCUUCGUCGUCCUCCUGCGGAACGGGCUCGGGAACCAUGUCUUCCUGAUCUGAAAUGGUUAAAUAAGGAGUGAGCUACACUAGCCCAGUAAGAACAUCACGAUAUCUCACCGUCACGGAGGUAAAGGUGGGUAGAAAAUACAAAAAGACCAAUGGAGCAUAAUUUUCAACAAACUCGUUUAUUAACAUGAAAACCUUUACCAUCCACUUACCUCGGUGGAAUUUAUGAAAACAAUAUAAGAAAAACAAUACAUUUUCAUAAUCAUGGAAUAAUAUGAGCUAUAAAACAUAACACUUAUCACGCCUCUUGUAAUUCAAUCAUUAUACAACAUAUCUUUUUUCUCAUUUACCAGCCUACUAGUAUCCGUGGGGGUCCAUAGGGGUCCCGCUACCCGUUAACCUUUAACAUUCACAAUCAGUUUCCAGGGCCGUCCCCAUACCCCGUCCGGUAUGGGCGUCAAAACCAUAAACCUCAAUACCCCGUCCGGUCUGAGGGUGAAACGGGCCGUCCCCAUACCCCGUCCGGUAUGGGCACCAAAACCAUAAGAUCUCCAUACCCCGUUCGGCAUGUGAGACCACAAUCCCGGUAGGGUUCCCUACGGACCCGGUCUGUCCACCAUCUCCCAGGAUAUCUAGUCAGGCUGACCCCCAUAAUACAAUUAUCAGUCUACACAAUCUUUCAUUUUCCUUUUCCUCAGUCAGCAUCAUCAAUUCACAUUUAAACAGGCAAAUCGUAAUUCAUGCCAAAAGACAACAUACAGUAUCAGUUUUUCAGUCAUU